rnacentral:rRNA from 1 species
ACUCAAAUGAAUAGACGGGGGCCCGCACAAGCGGUGGAUUAUGUGGUUUAAUUCGAAGCAACGCGCAGAACCUUACCUAGGUUUGACAUCCCUUGACAAUCUUGGAAACAAGACUUUGUAGCAAUACACAAGGAGACAGGUGCUGCAUGGCUGUCGUCAGCUCGUGUUGUGAAAUGUUGGGUUAAGUCCCGCAACGAGCGCAACCCCUGGAUUUAGUUGCCAGCAUUAAGUUGGGCACUCUAAAUUAACUGCCAGCGUUAAGCUGGAGGAAGGUGGGGAUGACGUCAAGUCCUCAUGGCCCUUACACCUAGGGCUACACACGUAAUACAAUGGAUAGGACAAAGGGCAGCGAACCAGCGAUGGGGAGCUAAUCUCAAAAACCUAUCCUCAGUUCGGAUUGGAGGCUGCAAUUCGCCUCCAUGAAGGCGGAAUCGCUAGUAAUCGUGGAUCAGAACGCCACGGUGAAUACGUUCCCGGGCCUUGCACACACCGCCCGU